rnacentral:tRNA from 2 species
GCCCGGUUAGCUCAAUCCGUAGAGCGUGAGACUCUUAAGACUCUGGUCAUCUCAAGGUUGCGGGUUCGACCCCGCAUUGGGCU